rnacentral:rRNA from 1 species
ACGUAGGUGACAAGCGUUGUCCGGAUUUACUGGGCGUAAAGCGCGCGCAGGCGGUCGUUCAAGUCGAGUGUGAAAGCCCCCGGCUCAACUGGGGAGGGUCACUCGAUACUGAUCGACUGGAAGGCAGGAGAGGGAAGUGGAAUUCCCGGUGUAGUGGUGAAAUGCGUAGAUAUCGGGAGGAACACCAGUGGCGAAGGCGACUUCCUGGCCUGUUCUUGACGCUGAGGCGCGAAAGCUAGGGGAGCAAACGGGAUUAGAUACCCCGGUAGUCCUAGCCGUAAACGAUGGACACUAGGUGUUGGUGGUAUCAACCCCGCCAGUGCCGAAGCUAACGCAUUAAGUGUCCCGCCUGGGGAGUACGGCCGCAAGGCUA